ensembl:snRNA
GUGUUGUGUGAAAGGUUAGCUCUCCCCUUGACAAGGAUGGAAGAGGCCCUUGGGCCUGACAACAUAACCACAUGUGUAUGGUAAAGAAAUUACUACUUAAUGAGUGUU